AUUGAACGCUGGCGGCAUGCUUUACACAUGCAAGUCGAACGGUAACAGGGUGCUUGCACCGCUGACGAGUGGCGAACGGGUGAGUAAUGCGUCGGAACGUGCCGAGUAGUGGGGGAUAACGCAGCGAAAGUUGUGCUAAUACCGCAUACGUACUGAGGUAGAAAGUGGGGGACCUUCGGGCCUCACGCUAUUCGAGCGGCCGACGUCUGAUUAGCUAGUAGGUGAGGUAAAGGCUCACCUAGGCGACGAUCAGUAGCGGGUCUGAGAGGAUGAUCCGCCACACUGGGACUGAGACACGGCCCAGACUCCUACGGGAGGCAGCAGUGGGGAAUUUUGGACAAUGGGCGAAAGACUGAUCCAGCCAUGCCGCGUGUCUGAAGAAGGCCUUCGGGUUGUAAAGGACUUUUGUCAGGGAGGAAAUCCCUAGUGCUAAUAACACUGGGGGAUGACAGUACCUGAAGAAUAAGCACCGGCUAACUACGUGCCAGCCGCCGCGGAA
rnacentral:rRNA from 1 species